UGGUGAAUUUAGUGACAAUUUGUUGUUUUCUGUUUUUCCCAGACACCUCUCCUGAAAAAAAGGGAAACUCUGAAAGUCAAAACCCACGCUCCAUCCUCACACUGCCUGGAACCAGGGCUCUCCCUCCAGCUGGGGCUGCUCUCCUCAUCCUGCUGACACAAAGCACUUUAGCUUAUGCAUCACUGACACAGAAAGUAACUUCUGAAGCCCAUAAAGAUACUUGUGACUUGUGACUCCAGAAGUUUAAUUACUCUGAAUCAAGAGUAUUUCUGUGAAAGACUUGUUAUAAAAUAUGCUAGUGGAGAUCUCUAAUUGAAGGUAACAAUUUUUAACAGUAGAUCAUAGCCCACUUACACUUGUUUAUAGACUUGUUUGAAAUACAUUGUUUUCUGUGUCAUUAAUUUCAAAUGUUUUUAAAUUUUAGAUGGUUUGGUCACUCAAAAUAGAUGUUUUGAACUUCAUUAUUCUACCUAAUGGGUAAGUUUGCAAAUUGAUGAUCAUAUGCACAAAAUAAUUGACAUUUUUAUUAUCCAUUACAAUUUUAAUAUAAACGGCAAUAAAGAGCCUAACUAGAAAGCUUCUUGUUA
rnacentral:lncRNA from 1 species